UGGCUCAGUGGUUAAGAGCACUGACUGUUCUUCCAGAGGUCCUGGGUUCAAAUCCCAG
rfam:Rattus norvegicus chromosome 5, whole genome shotgun sequence.